rnacentral:rRNA from 1 species
CAGCAGCCGCGGUAAUACGUAGGGGUCAAGCGUUAUCCGGAUUUACUGGGCGUAAAGAGCAUGUAGGCGGUUGCCUAAGUCGGACGUGAAAGCUCCUGGCUCAACUAGGAGAGGCCGUUCGAAACUAGGUAACUCGAGGAUGGUAGAGGAGAGUGGAAUUCCCGGUGUAGUGGUGAAAUGCGUAGAUAUCGGGAGGAACACCAGUGGCGAAGGCGGCUCUCUGGGCCAUUCCUGACGCUGAGAUGCGAAAGCUAGGGGAGAGAACGGGAUUAGAAACCCCGGUAUUCCUAGCCGUAAACGAUGUCAACUAGGUGUAGGAGGUAUUGACCCCUUCUGUGCUGCAGCAAACGCGUUAAGUUGACCGCCUGGGGACUACGGCCGCAAGGCUAAAACUCAAAGGAAUUGACGGGGACCCGCACAAGCAGCGGAGCGUGUGGUUUAAUUCGAGGCUACGCGAAGAACCUUACCAGGGUUUGACAUGGCGGUAGUAGGGAUCCGAAAGGUGACCGACCCUUCGGGGAGCCGUCACAGGUGCUGCAUGGCUGUCGUCAGCUCGUGCCGUGAGGUGUUAGGUUAAGUCCUGUAACGAGCGCACCCCACGUCGUUAGUUAUACGUGUCUACCGAGACUGCCGGUGAUAAGCCGGAGGAAGGUGUGGAUGACGUCACGUCAGCAUGGCCCUUAUAUCCUGGGCUACACACACGCUACAAUGGCCGGUACAACGG